UUCUUGAAUAUAGCCUGCUCAUGAGAAAAUUGGAGUUGUAGAUUCUCAGUGGAUUGUCCAUCAAAGUGUUCCUUCACUCGGGAACCAGGGGGAAGCAGAGAAUGGGAAGGCACCAUGGCAAGGGGUGAGGGAUAGGUGUAAAAAAGAGUGGACAAUGUUUCAGAAUCGUGUGGCGAAUGCCGAAAGGACUUAUUACAAGGCAAAAGGAGUUGAUCCACCAAAUUCAACAAAUCAGUAGGUGCCGCCGACAGCAGAAGCUGCUGACUGUAUACAAUGGGAUCACCAUCACCGGCAUUAGUAUGCCUAGGGCGUUACGGAUAGAUUUAUACUAUCCAAAAUUGUUAAUUGUAGAGAAUUUUAUUAGUUGUUAUUAGGGUUUAAGAAUCAAUAGGUACACCUAAAUUCUUUUCAAAGGCGGAUACGAAUUGUUGAAUGACAGUGGUCCACACAAAUGACCACAAGGUAAUCCAUCCAGUUUUAUA